rnacentral:rRNA from 1 species
GACGAACGCUGGCGGCGUGCUUAACACAUGCAAGUCGAACGGAAAGGCCCUGCUUGCAGGGUGCUCGAGUGGCGAACGGGUGAGUAACACGUGGGUGAUCUGCCCCUUACUUUGGGAUAAGCCUGGGAAACUGGGUCUAAUACUGGAUAGGACCAUGCUGUAGGUGGUGUGGUGGAAAGAUUAGUUUCGGUAAGGGAUGAGCUCGCGGCCUAUCAGCUUGUUGGUGGGGUAAUGGCCUACCAAGGCGUCGACGGGUAGCCGGCCUGAGAGGGUGGGCGGCCAGGUUCGGACUGAUAUAGGAGGCAGACUCCGGGAGGAGUCGGCAGUGGGGGAUAGCGCACUAUAGGCGCAAGGCUGAUGUAGCGACGCCGCGUGGGUUAUGACGGCCUUCGGUUUGGAAAGACCUGCCGGCCAUUACGAAGCCCUUGUUGUGACGGUAGUGGUAGAAGAAGCACCGGCUAACUACGUG